CAGUUAAAGAAGGAAGGAAAACCUACGGUUGUAGAGGAGGAUGAUCCUGAACUGUUUAAACAAGCAGUAUAUAAACAGACCAUGAAACUCUUUGCUGAACUGGAAAUUAAAAGGAAAGAGAGAGAAGCCAAAGAGAUGCAUGAAAGGAAGCGGCAAAGGGAAGAAGAGAUUGAAGCUCAAGAAAAAGCCAAACGAGAAAGAGAGUGGCAGAAAAACUUUGAGGAAAGUCGAGAUGGUCGUGUAGACAGCUGGCGAAACUUCCAAGCAAAUACAAAGGGGAAAAAAGAGAAGAAAAAUCGGACCUUCCUGAGACCACCAAAAGUAAAAAUGGAGCAACGUGAGUGACCUCCUGGGGUCACAGCCACAGGACCUUCCCCCAGCUGUCUCCCCGCUUUGAAGGACUCAUUCUUUCUUCCCACUUCCACCCCAACAUAGAAUAGUAUUUGCUUUUUAGUUCAUUUUGUUUUCAAUACAAUUUAAUAUUGAUCAGAGUAAUUCUUUUGUACAUUGAGAUGAGGGGCUCGGUUUAAAAAAAGACCUUUCCCCUCCGCCCCUAGAACAACCAGGAUUGGAAGGUGCCACUGUUGGUGCUGCCUUCUCUUCCCACAGCCUGUAACUUAAUGUUUUGUACUUCACUGAAUUGUGAUGG